rnacentral:lncRNA from 1 species
UCUACACAUUCACAUUCUGGCUGUACAUAGUUAAGAUACCGACACAUGCAUUUAUCAAGGCAAAUUAUCCUUGUACAAUCAAUAUACAUUUAUCAACUAAGCAUUUGCAACAUAAGUUAAUCAUUUGUCAACAUACCAUUUGGAGCUAAUACUCAAAAUAUAUCAAUGUAACAAUGUUAUAUUAGACAAAUGAGGUAUAAAGAUACAAUGUUAUAUUACACAACAUAAUCUGUUGCAAUGUUAUAUUACACAACUGAGAGAUAAAGUUGCAAUACUAUAUUACACAAUAUGCUCUAAUAUCUCAUGCUUGA